UUACACAAAUAUGAAGGCGGGCUGGAACCUCUCGGGGUUACAGCCUUGCUGAAUUAUUCACCCUUGUCUUUUGCGUACUUCUUGUUUCCUUGGUGGGUUCGCCCACCACUAGGACAAACAUAAACCUUUUGUAAUUGCAAUCAGCGUCAGUAACAAAUUAAUAAUUACAACUUUCAACAACGGAUCUCUUGGUUCUGGCAUCGAUGAAGAACGCAGCGAAAUGCGAUAAGUAGUGUGAAUUGCAGAAUUCAGUGAAUCAUCGAAUCUUUGAACGCACAUUGCGCCCUUUGGUAUUCCAAAGGGCAUGCCUGUUCGAGCGUCAUUUGUACCCUCAAGCUUUGCUUGGUGUUGGGCGUCUUGUCUCUAGCUUUGCUGGAGACUCGCCUUAAAGUAAUUGGCAGCCGGCCUACUGGUUUCGGAGCGCAGCACAAGUCGCACUCUCUAUCAGCAAAGGUCUAGCAUCCAUUAAGCCUUUUUUUCAACUUUUGACCUCGGAUCAGGUAGGGAUACCCGCUGAACUUAAGCAUAUCAAUAAGCGGAGGAAAAGAAACCAACAGGGAUUGCCCUAGUAACGGCGAGUGAAGCGGCAACAGCUCAAAUUUGAAAUCUGGCUCUUUUAGAGUCCGAGUUGUAAUUUGCAGAGGGCGCUUUGGCUUUGGCAGCGGUCCAAGUUCCUUGGAACAGGACGUCACAGAGGGUGAGAAUCCCGUACGUGGUCGCUGGCUAUUGCCGUGUAAAGCCCCUUCGACGA
rnacentral:rRNA from 1 species